rnacentral:rRNA from 2 species
UCAAAGACGGUUUCGGCUGUCACUUACAGAUGGGCCCGCGGCGCAUUAGCUAGUUGGUGAGGUAAUGGCUCACCAAGGCGACGAUGCGUAGCCGACCUGAGAGGGUGAUCGGCCACACUGGGACUGAGACACGGCCCAGACUCCUACGGGAGGCAGCAGUAGGGAAUCUUCCGCAAUGGACGAAAGUCUGACGGAGCAACGCCGCGUGAGUGAUGAAGGUUUUCGGAUCGUAAAACUCUGUUGUCAGGGAAGAACAAGUGCCGGAGUAACUGCCGGCACCUUGACGGUACCUGACCAGAAAGCCACGGCUAACUACGUGCCAGCAGCCGCGGUAAUACGUAGGUGGCAAGCGUUGUCCGGAAUUAUUGGGCGUAAAGCGCGCGCAGGCGGUUUCUUAAGUCUGAUGUGAAAGCCCCCGGCUCAACCGGGGAGGGUCAUUGGAAACUGGGAAACUUGAGUGCAGAAGAGGAGAGUGGAAUUCCACGUGUAGCGGUGAAAUGCGUAGAGAUGUGGAGGAACACCAGUGGCGAAGGCGACUCUCUGGUCUGUAACUGACGCUGAGGCGCGAAAGCGUGGGGAGCGAACAGGAUUAGAUACCCUGGUAGUCCACGCCGUAAACGAUGAGUGCUAAGUGUUAGAGGGUUUCCGCCCUUUAGUGCUGCAGCUAACGCAUUAAGCACUCCGCCUGGGGAGUACGGUCGCAAGACUGAAACUCAAAGGAAUUGACGGGGGCCCGCACAAGCGGUGGAGCAUGUGGUUUAAUUCGAAGCAACGCGAAGAACCUUACCAGGUCUUGACAUCCUUUGCCACUUCUAGAGAUAGAAGGUUCCCCUUCGGGGGACAAAGUGACAGGUGGUGCAUGGUUGUCGUCAGCUCGUGUCGUGAGAUGUUGGGUUAAGUCCCGCAACGAGCGCAACCCUUGAUCUUAGUUGCCAGCAUUCAGUUGGGCACUCUAAGGUGACUGCCGGUGACAAACCGGAGGAAGGUGGGGAUGACGUCAAAUCAUCAUGCCCCUUAUGACCUGGGCUACACACGUGCUACAAUGGAUGGUACAAAGGGCUGCGAGACCGCGAGGUUUAGCCAAUCCCAUAAAACCAUUCUCAGUUCGGAUUGCAGGCUGCAACUCGCCUGCAUGAAGCUGGAAUCGCUAGUAAUCGCGGAUCAACAUGCCGCGGUGAAUACGUUCCCGGGCCUUGUACACACCGCCCGUCACACCACGAGAGUUUGCAACACCCGAAGUCGGUGGGGUA